UACGGGGGGGCAAGCGUUGUUCGGAAUUACUGGGCGUAAAGGGCGCGUAGGCGGCACUGUUAGUCAGGCGUGAAAGUCCUGGGCUCAACCUGGGAACUGCGCUUGAUACGGCAGAGCUAGAGGAUGGAAGAGGCUCGCGGAAUUCCCAGUGUAGAGGUGAAAUUCGUAGAUAUUGGGAAGAACACCGGUGGCGAAGGCGGCGAAGCUGGUCCAUUACUGACGCUGAGGCGCGAAAGCGUGGGAGCAA
rnacentral:rRNA from 1 species